GAUGAACGCUAGCGGCAGGCCUAACACAUGCAAGUCGAGGGGCAGCACAGAAACAGCAAUGUUUUGGUGGCGACCGGCGGACGGGUGCGUAACGCGUAUGCAACCUACCUUUAACAGGGGGAUAACGGAGAGAAAUUUCCACUAAUACCCCAUAACAUCGAUCAAGGCAUCUUGAUUGGAUGAAAACUCCGGUGGUUAAACAUGGGCAUGCGUUGUAUUCGGUAGAUGGGAAGGUAAUGGCACAACAAGCCUACGAUACAUAGGGGGACUGAGAGGUUAGCCCCCCACACUGGUACUGUGACACGGACCAGACUCCUACGGGAGGCAGCAGUGAGGAAUAUUGGUCAAUGGGGGCAACCCUGAACCAGCCAUGCCGCGUGCAGGAAGACGGCUCUAUGAGUUGUAAACUGGUUUUAAACAGGGAUAAAGCACAGUAUGUAUACUGUGUUGAAGGUACUGUAAGAAUAAGGAUCGGCUAACUCCGUGCCAGCAGCCGCCGUAA
rnacentral:rRNA from 1 species